CAGUAGCCGCGGGAAUACGGAGGAUCCAAGCGUUAUCCGGAAUCAUUGGGUUUAAAGGGUCCGUAGGCGGUCUUGUAAGUCAGUGGUGAAAGCCCAUCGCUCAACGGUGGAACGGCCAUUGAUACUGCAGGACUUGAAUUAUUGGGAAGUAACUAGAAUAUGUAGUGUAGCGGUGAAAUGCUUAGAGAUUACAUGGAAUACCAAUUGCGAAGGCAGGUUACUACCAAUUGAUUGACGCUGAUGGACGAAAGCGUGGGUAGCGAACAGGAUUAGAUACCCGCGUAGUCCCUGUCUCUUAUAA
rnacentral:rRNA from 1 species